rnacentral:rRNA from 1 species
AAACUGAAGAGUUUGAUCCUGGCUCAGAUUGAACGCUGGCGGCAUGCCUUACACAUGCAAGUCGAACGGCAGCACGGGUGCUUGCACCUGGUGGCGAGUGGCGAACGGGUGAGUAAUACAUCGGAACAUGUCCUGUAGUGGGGGAUAGCCCGGCGAAAGCCGGAUUAAUACCGCAUACGAUCUACGGAUGAAAGCGGGGGACCUUCGGGCCUCGCGCUAUAGGGUUGGCCGAUGGCUGAUUAGCUAGUUGGUGGGGUAAAGGCCUACCAAGGCGACGAUCAGUAGCUGGUCUGAGAGGACGACCAGCCACACUGGGACUGAGACACGGCCCAGACUCCUACGGGAGGCAGCAGUGGGGAAUUUUGGACAAUGGGCGAAAGCCUGAUCCAGCAAUGCCGCGUGUGUGAAGAAGGCCUUCGGGUUGUAAAGCACUUUUGUCCGGAAAGAAAUCCUUGGCUCUAAUACAGUCGGGGGAUGACGGUACCGGAAGAAUAAGCACCGGCUAACUACGUGCCAGCAGCCGCGGUAAUACGUAGGGUGCGAGCGUUAAUCGGAAUUACUGGGCGUAAAGCGUGCGCAGGCGGUUUGCUAAGACCGAUGUGAAAUCCCCGGGCUCAACCUGGGAACUGCAUUGGUGACUGGCAGGCUAGAGUAUGGCAGAGGGGGGUAGAAUUCCACGUGUAGCAGUGAAAUGCGUAGAGAUGUGGAGGAAUACCGAUGGCGAAGGCAGCCCCCUGGGCCAAUACUGACGCUCAUGCACGAAAGCGUGGGGAGCAAACAGGAUUAGAUACCCCGGUAGUCCACGCCCUAAACGAUGUCAACUAGUUGUUGGGGAUUCAUUUCCUUAGUAACGUAGCUAACGCGUGAAGUUGACCGCCUGGGGAGUACGGUCGCAAGAUUAAAACUCAAAGGAAUUGACGGGGACCCGCACAAGCGGUGGAUGAUGUGGAUUAAUUCGAUGCAACGCGAAAAACCUUACCUACCCUUGACAUGGUCGGAAUCCCGCUGAGAGGUGGGAGUGCUCGAAAGAGAACCGGCGCACAGGUGCUGCAUGGCUGUCGUCAGCUCGUGUCGUGAGAUGUUGGGUUAAGUCCCGCAACGAGCGCAACCCUUGUCCUUAGUUGCUACGCAAGAGCACUCUAAGGAGACUGCCGGUGACAAACCGGAGGAAGGUGGGGAUGACGUCAAGUCCUCAUGGCCCUUAUGGGUAGGGCUUCACACGUCAUACAAUGGUCGGAACAGAGGGUUGCCAACCCGCGAGGGGGAGCUAAUCCCAGAAAACCGAUCGUAGUCCGGAUUGCACUCUGCAACUCGAGUGCAUGAAGCUGGAAUCGCUAGUAAUCGCGGAUCAGCAUGCCGCGGUGAAUACGUUCCCGGUCUUGUACACACCGCCCGUCACACCAUGGGAGUGGGUUUUACCAGAAGUGGCUAGUCUAACCGCAAGGAGGACGGUCACCACGGUAGGAUUCAUGACUGGGGUGAAGUCGUAACAAGGUAGCCGUAUCGGAAGGUGCGGCUGGAUCACCUCCUUU